AUGAAAGAACUAUUCAAUGCAAUAUAUCUACUUUAUCACUAUUAUCGCUAUUAUGUAAUAUGUAGAUACUACAAACCAGUUUUUAAUUCUAAUGGAGACAUAGGCCUACAUAGUCUUGUAAGUAGCUCCGUCAAUGUGUACGACCGUUAUUUGAUAGGAUCCGAAUUUUCUGCCUUUAUGGCAAGAAAUGCAUAUGACUUUCAAUCAAUUUGGUAUGUCUGA